rnacentral:lncRNA from 1 species
UAUAUAUAUAUAUAUAUAUAUAUAUAUAUAUAUUUUGAGAGAUAGGUAUAGCACACUACCCGCUUCGUCUAUUUAUUUAGAAAUAAACUUAGCUGGAAAUGUGAAUCAACUUGAGCAUGGGUCGAUCUCGGGUACCAACCACCAAGCCCUUUGCCACUUGCUCUAGGGACGGUCGGUUUUAAAAUAUUAUAUUAUGAAGAUAAAAUUGACAUAUUAAUUUAAUUAUAUUUCUAAUAUCUAUCUGAACUAAACACUGACAUUGGAAAUGGCUCAUUAAUUCCGAUAACGAUUCAGGUGGCGUACCAAACAGAAUGAAGUAAUAAAUCAUUCUGAUUCCCUUUCCACCUUAUUCUCAUUUUGAUUCCGAUAUCGAUUUUGACUUUGAACCAAACACACCCUUAGUUUCAACAGUUUUGAUGAUUGAUUCGUUAAGAUUUUCAACGAUAAAACCCUAUCUCAAAAACCUGAAAAUCACACUGUAAUCACCCCUGUAUAAUUUCCUAAGAUUCCGUCGAGCUAGUUUAGUUCCAAAUUAAGAGGCGCAAUGCAUCCCAAUUAAGUGAUGCAGCCACAAAUGAGUUCGAUAAAUGUAACUAAGGUUUCGUUUGGGAUUACGGAGAGAUUGCGUUACGUGCGAUGAGAAACGACGAUGGAAAAAUACUCCAUUUAUUACCGUACGUAAUAUUGCGUUCCGCAUAUUGCGAUUAGUCGGUUAUGAUAUAUUUUCUGCAGUCCUAUCGGCUAUCGGAGAACGCAGAAGUAUGUCUCUAUAUACUUUUUCUUAACUUCAUUCUAUCUAAUAACGUUACAUUGACCUCAAUACCAAACUAAACCUAAGUAGUUUACAACCACCAACUUUGCAGUAUCCGGUUCCAUUAUAAUUAUAAUAAUAAUAAUAAUAACCAUUAAUACAUGCAUACCUAACAAAGGCGUUAUUUAAUAACAUGGUGCACGUCAUAUUUAAUAAUUAAUCUCUUCUCCGUAUGUAGUAGUAGAUUCAAGUCACAAUAAUAACGAGUUGGUGAUAAGGGUAAAGAUUGCGCGCAUACAUUGUAUUCCUCUUUGGCACUAACUAGUUAAUUAGCUAGUGAACAUGUACACUGGAGUUUCUGUCACGCCUCACUUCACAAAUGGUCAUCAAUCCUAGAACUACUUUGGUCCUAAUACGUUUAAUUCUCUAAAUUUUUUUAGCCUAAUCACCAUUCAAAAUAUUGUAAUUGGGUUAAAAACUUUAGCCCUAUAAUAUCUCUUAUAUGCUGGACUAUCAAAAUAUCACAUUUACUUUCUUUUAAGUCUUGAUGUUCUCGUCAGGCUCACACUUAUAAAUAUCAGGCAAUAUAAAACUCGUCUCACUAGUCUUAACCGACCUUGUGGGGGAGCCACGCUUUAACGACAACAGUCGAUCAUCAGUAUGAGAGUCUCACUCUCCCCGCUGUAUAACCUUGCUUAGCGAGACUCACCUUACACUUUCGGUUGGUAAUUUUGGCUCUGACACCAGCUGUGACACCCCACUUUUCAGGGGGUCACCCAUCCUAAGACUACUCUAGUCCCGGCACACUUAAGUCUGUUAAUCUUUUGGGUCUAAUCACCGCCAAAAAUACUAUAAUUGAGUUAAGAGUUUUAGCCUAUAAUAUUGUAUAUAUAUAGAACUACCGGGGUCUCAUAGUUUCCAUGCAUUAAGCUCCAUUGAUUUAGGGUUUCCCUUUACCAAGUCAAUUUUAAUUUGUAUUAUCGGAUCAUUGGUGCUAAUCAUUAAUCCCAAAAGCUUAAACUGUUAAAAAUACACAACUAAUUCACUUAGAGCGUACGGACAUAGUAUCCACGGGUCUUGAUUGUGAUUCGGUCGAACAAGCCGCUUACCACUUCAAACAUGACUCGACCCAACUCGACCUCCCGCUAUUUUAAACAUGACUCGACUCAAUCCGAUCUCCCGCCACAAGGCAGAGUGCAGACCUAUUUAAACCAACAUAUACAUACAUAAUAAAGAAUUGGCUUUUGAAAUACCUAGAAUUUGAGAUUCAAUGACGACUUCAGGACAGGGUGCAUAAACUAAACCCAGGCUACAAUUUGAAAUCUAAUAUUUUUUAAACAACUUUUGUUGAUAUAUAUUGAGAGAGAUUAUUGUAAUUCGGCUAGUUUUCAUUUUGGUCCUCGAAAUUUCAAUUUCUACAUUAUAGAUCAUAAACGUUUAAAAAAGUUUUAUUCAAGUCCACAUGUAUAUAUAUAUAUAUAUAUAUAUAUAUAUAUAUAUAUUUUGAGAGAUAGGUAGCACGUUACCCAAAUCGUUGAUCAUUUAGAAAUAAACUUAGCUAGAAAUGUGAAUCAACUAGGAUUCGAACUUGGGUCUCGGGUACCAACCACCAAGCCUUUUGCCAUUUGCUCUAGGAACGGUCGGUACAUGUAUAUUUAUUAUUGGAGUAAACUAUUAACCUACACCCACUACUUCUUUAUACUAUAUACUAUUUAUUUAGCAAUUAUUAAUUAUCACACCAUAUAUUUUAGCUCUAUUAUCCAUUAGUUACAAAUUAUUUACUACUU